AUAUUUCGAAGGGUUAUAGUGCCUCAUUGUGUGAUGGAAUGGUUCGAUGACCUUUAGUGUUGGAUAAAGCACUGGGUUUCACCGCUGUGGCCAUCCCAGUGCAUUAUCAGACUAGUAAUUAUGCUUGUUGCUGACGCCUUCUGAUGGUGGGAUAUGAUGAUAAGCCAGAGGAGGUACAGCCACACCCAGUGAAGGAGCAAUUGCCUGGAGUUCAAUAUUGCAUAAACAGUCCUCCUCCAUGGCCUGAAGCUGUAGUAUUGGGGUUCCAGCAUUACUUUCUGACCCUUGGCAUGACCGUUCUAAUUCCAACCAUAGUUGUUCCUCAAAUGGGUGGAGGCAAUGCUGAAAAGGCAAGGGUGAUACAAAGCCUAUUGUUUGUUUCUGGAC